AAUUAUUUCUGCCCAGUGUAUAUAAUAUUAACGGCCGCAGUACUUUGACUGUGCUAAGGUAGCAUAAUCAAUUGGCUUUUAAUUUAAGUCUGGAAUGAAAGGAUUUAUGGGGAUUUACUGUUUCAAAUGUAUAAUAUUGAAUUUAUUAAAAAAGUGAAAAUACUUUUGUUUUUAAAAAAGACGAGAAGACCCUAAGAAUUUUUAGAAUAUAUUUAUACAAUUAUUUCUUUUUGUUGGGGCGACAAUUAAACAAUUAAACUUUAAUUAUUUUUUAAUCGGUUUUUUCAGUAAAAAAUAAAUUACCUUAGGGAUAACAGCAUAAUUUAAAAAA
rnacentral:rRNA from 4 species